GCGGCAGUACGCAAAGUGCGCAGCGUAGCGCCGAGUAGCUGCCGGCGGUACGGGAGAGGCGUAGGGCGGCUCGUGUCGAGGGCCGGCCUUCCCGCCUCGUUCCCUCCAGGCUCGCCGCAGGCAGUGACAGAUCUCAGCUUCCAAAUCCGAGCCCGGGUUCUCCCGGCAGGUUCUCCCGUGGAGCUUGACCUGAACUGGUCCCCUCCCUGGUUUGCUCUAUAAGGGACUUCUUGACUCCCCGGGUCCUCGUUGCUAUUUCUUCUGAGAGAAGACGAACUUCUAAGAUACAGGCAUCAGCAGACGGGCAGCGGUGCCCUCAGGGGAUCUGUCAGGAGGAGAGCUCAAAUAUCAGUAUGGAAACGUUGAUAUUUCCUUGAUAUUACAGACCACAUGUGGCCUUAAGUUGGCGUUCUGCUGUGCACAUGUUGGGCUGCACGUUUUGACCAGAACCUAAAUUUGGGGGGAGAGGGGGUUAAGAAAGGAGGGGAUAGCCUCUUCAACAGAGACUGUGGUGACGGGACAAGAGGAAAUGGGUUCAGACUCAAAGAGGGGACAUUUAGACUGGAUAUGAGGAAGAAGCACUGUCACAGGUUGCCCAGAGAGGUGGUGGGUGCCCCAUCCCUGGAGACACUCCAGCUCAGGCUGGACGGGGCUCUGAGCACCCGAUGGAGCUGUAGGUGUCCCUGCUCAUUGCUGGUGGUUGGACUGGAUGGCCUUUAAGAGUUCCUUCCAACUCAAAUGACUCUAUGAUUCCAUAUUUGCAUAAAUGCAAUCAGUAUUCUGGAACAUACUGAAAAGUAGUGUCUAAAAAACCAGAGGGCCAGAUUCUCAUCAGGUAUGCUGCUAUUCCCUCACCUUUGUAAGCUCUGUUUCUCUUUUGAAACACUGGAAGAAGAAGCUGCAAAGAAUGUGUUUUAUUUCAGCACUGUUCAGACAGCAUAGGAUCGUACAUGCACAUACGUGAGGCAGCAUAUAGAUAACUUCAGCUUUGUGUGGAUUUCUAGUUUUGCAAGGUCAAGAGAGUGCAUCAGAUAAUCUAGUCUGACUUUAUCCAGAGGCUGCUUUUUGUAAAUUAAUGGUUUAUGCAGGAAAUAAAUCUGAAAGAAAUCCUCUGGACCUUCCAGUCUAAACCUCUGCUGUCACAUACAACUCAAGAAAUUCAACAUAAAAGUAUUUAUCUGCUUCUUAAUUUUUUAUUUUUAUUUUUUUGGCUGGUAUUAACCCCACUGAAAAAAAAGAUCACUUUCACUCCUUGGAAGAGCAUGAAGUCUAAUUAUGUAUUAAUUUUCAAAACAUUCAUUUUUAAUGUAAUUAAUGUAAUUUUUAGUUUAGGAUAAUAUAUAUCAAUCUUUUCUUGCCCAGUGCUGCCCAUGAGUUUAAAUGGUUCUUGACCUUUCUGUUGUUCACUCACUGUUUGUUGUGUCCCCUCCAGCCCUUUUAUUUUAGCCUCUGUUUUAUUCAUCUGAUUUCACAAGACAUGAAACUCUUACGUAAUUCUCCUGAUUCUCCCACCAAGUCAUUUCUGCAUGUGCUAUUUUGAAUUCACCCAUGUUAAACUUGGGCAGCUAGUUAGAUUCUACAUUGGCUUGUACAGUGUCUCUAAUGGAAGUGCAUGGCCAUCAUACGUCCUAGGAUUUUAUCUGGUUAUUUCUGUGUACACAUCAAACUAGUAGCCCCAAAUCACUGUGUGAUCAUUUUAUGAGCCCCAUGUCCCUUGUUGCUUCUUAUUAAAAAACUCUGUUAAUAAACAGGAUGAGUUCUUGCUUUUCUCAACUGAACACAGCAAGCUCUGAGCUUUGUAUCAGUUCCUUCGAUGUGGGACCUACAUCCAUACAGUGCUUUCAUGAAGAAGGCCAUUUCCAUUAAUCAGCUUUACCUCCAUGUUCAGCGUGUGCCCCAGCUCUGUCAUUGCCCUCAGAUGACCAUGGUCCUGAGCACGUCACCCCUUUGUAAAUGUUCAAUUGGCAGUGUUCAAAGUCAGAACCUUCACUGAUUACAGCUGUUGCAGAAAAACCUAGAAGUGAGGUGCUGUCUCUCCGUCCUUCUGGAAGCCUCUUUGAAGCAGAGGCUUUAUGCUGGCCCUUGCCUGCGGCACAGUGCAGCCGUGUAGCAGCUGUAUUUGCAUUGUCUCAAGUCUCCAUGGGCCUGUCUGGCCUUGACCCAGACUCACUGACUUGGUAUCCUGAUGUGGCCUUGGAUGUGCCUUGUCACUGUGGCCUUGCUGAGUGAACAACUAACUGCUGCUGACCCUGACCACUAUCUUGUAAACCAGUUUUGACUCUGGCUUGCUGCUCUGCUCCCUGGCUCGUUGGUGAGGUGACUGCUUUCCCCUGCCUGGUUGCUCCACUUGGCUCCCAGACACAUUCCCUUGCAGAGCUACCAUCUCUUGCUGUUCCCUGACAUCUCCCAGCCCCAAACACAGAGACCUCCUACGUAGUUUCUUUGCAUUUUCUAUAUAAUGUAUGCUUUUGUGGGAGGCAAGUUUGAGUAAAAGGCAGAGCAAUUCAAUCAGGAUACCUGGAUGAAAACCAGCAGAUUGAAAUAAAAGAGACAAAAAUACUUAAUACUGUGUGUAUAUCAAGCAUCCUUCUGAACACAUUGAUUGUGUGAAAACUUUGCUGCUUGUCUCCUUGACAUGUUCAUUGUAAUGAUAAACAUUUUGCUAUACAGGCUUCAUCUUUCCUAUAUUUGUAUAGGUUCCGGUAUACUGGGAAACAUAUAUUUUUUACAGUUAUGUUCUCCAAAUCGUUAUUUUUAAGCUUCUAUUUGUAGUGGGCCAACAAACCACUAGAUGGCAAACAAUUUCUACUAGAUAAUGCCCAGGUGUUCAUACUAUCUUCUGUCCUCAGCUUUAUAACUGAGGUUUUGGGGUGUAGUGCAAUGGAAGUUCAUAGGAAUCUGUGGUGAAGAUGGUGCAGUCCUGCUCCUGCUUGCCUCACCCUCCCUUUUGCUUCUUGGUAUUCAUGCAGCCAGAUGUGGAGAGUGUUCUUAGAGUUUAUCUAUGCAAAAAAUAAGCUAGCAAAAAACAAAAAGAAGAUGAAAGGGCUGUUUCCAGCUAGCUUACAAAACAAGAUUUAUUCUGAGAGCAGCUGUCUCAUCCUGGGUUGUUUUAUGCAGCUUAGCAAUGGUAUCAAAUUUCUCCUAUCUGGCAUAAAAUUCCAGGGUUCAAGAGGACAACAACAUUCUGCAUGUAUACAAAUGAUCAUCAGAUAAUCUCCAUAAGUUACUGAAGAUGACAUCUGUGACUCCUGUUUUUCAUCUGCAAGAGACGUGGUAUGAAGACACGUUUGUGACGUGGUUGUUUUUAUUUUGAGAAUUAAAGUGGUUUGUAGGCCCUUCUGUAAGGGCAGGUUUAUCUGAGUACCAUCAAAGUCCAUGUGGGGCUGCCAAAAAGUUCUGCAGAUAAAGAGUGAUCUGGAUUUGAGAACUUUGCCCCUUUGUUGCCGAGCAUCUGAUAACUGCAGUACAACAGGGCAGGAGAGCGUUUUGUUUUCAGUUGCUUUGUCUUUGCUUGUUUCACUACAGCACCUGAUGUACAGUUGGGAACAGAUAGAAAUGUUUGGGGUUUGUCAUUCAAAGAGGUGGAGCUCUGGGAAUGAGGCAGAGCUCGCUAUUACCCACUCAGAUAGGACAGCUGAGGAGGUGGGUCUGUCUCAUGACAGAAACGUGAAUUAACUGCAGCAGAAUUCUGCUCAAGUGCCAGUAAUUCUUUGUUCUAAUGCCAUAGUUCUAUCAGACAUGCUGCAAGAUCUGUGUGAGAAUUUUCAUCUGAGUAAAGGAUAUUCAGGGUAGUUGUCUGGAGACUUGGUGCUUCUCAAUAGAAAAAUGUAUGAGUUUUAAACAGAAACUCUUCUCUCUUUUGAAUUUAUGAAAUUCUUUUACUUCGUGUUAUCCUUUCGUUUCAUAGCAUCCCCUCUUUUCUAUGACAAGUUGACGAGCGAGGCACAGCCAGCUCAAUGUGAAAUUUUCAAAACAAAGCAGAGUUUGCCAUCGCAGAAUUAUGGGCAGGUUUAUGGCCAAUACAGGAUCUCAAAGCAUGGUCAAAAUAUAGCUGUACAAGUUCAGGAAAGGGAAAUCCACCACUGGCUGUUAGGUAUGAAAGCACUGCGCCUAGCGCCUGCCUGAAAUCCUUCAUGGCAAGUUGGAAGCUGGAAAAGAACAUGGGGAAAGUCAAUGCUUGCUCCACUCUCACAUUCUUUCCCUGGUGCUGAUUUUGACAGCUGCUGAAGACAAGAUAGUGGGCUUGAGGGGCCUUUGGUCAGUCACUGAGUGGACAUUUCUUUGGUCUGACUCCUUCCUAAUUUUCUUACAUAUAGUAGCACUCUGAAGCUGAAGCUGCUGAGUUUGCAGUGGAGGACAGAAUGUGAGGAUCAAAAUCCACCAGACCUCUCCUACUGAAUUUCAGCCUUGGCAAUAUUUCCAUUGCUACCAGUGCUGCAUUCUAGACUGUAGUUAGAUAGUAAUUAGAGGCUUCAAUUAGACAAGAAAGCAAUUUUCUGACUGCACAAAAUUUGAGUUGAAAAUGAAUUAAAGCCUGAUACUCACUCUUGUUGCCUGUUGGUGCCCACCUCUCUUCUCUGCAUUGUGCUGUUACGAACUAUCUGUAAUACAUUUUACUCUCUUCCCAGAAGUCUUUACAGCUGUUUUGUAAAAACACAUGCAACUAAGAGUAAGGCAAAUGUCUCCAUUAAGCGAGGAUAUUGAUUGCUGUCCUGUCAUUUCCAGGUGCAGAGAGUGAUAUACGAUUAUGCAUGUUGGUCUUAAUUAUCUCUGAAGAAUACAUCCUCGAGGAGCCUGCUAGAAAGGAACGCGCUUACUUCAAAAGACAGCCUGUUAGCUUGUACUGAGAAGCACAAGAAAGCACUUGCCCGAAUCUGCCCAGAGGAAACGCUCCUGUUUCUGCAGUCACAGCUGGGCGAUGAGUGGGAGGCUGGACGUGUGGCAGCCCUGGGUCUGCUCAGUGCUCUGGUUUGCUCUGAUGAGCCUGUGAUGACAGAGAUGCUGCCCCAGGUUGCAGAGGCUGUGCAGCGUGUGUGCAAUGACUCCAGGACCCAGGUGAGGAGGGCUGUUCUGUAUUUCAUCAAGGAUCUGCUCAGCUUGGGAUGUGGUGGGGCACAUCUUCAAUGAUUACAGCC